UCCCCAGUGGCUCAGUGGUAAAGAAUCUGCCUGCAAUGCAGGAGACCUGGGUUCGAUCCCUGGAUCAGGAA
rnacentral:tRNA from 1 species